rnacentral:rRNA from 1 species
GGUAUGGGAUGAGCUUGCGUCCGAUUAGCUAGUUGGCGGGGCAACGGCCCACCAAGGCGACGAUCGGUAGCCGGCCUGAGAGGGCGAUCGGCCACAUUGGGACUGAGAUACGGCCCAGACUCCUACGGGAGGCAGCAGUAGGGAAUAUUGCACAAUGGGGGAAACCCUGAUGCAGCAACGCCACGUGUGGGAAGAAGCAUUUCGGUGUGUAAACCACUGUCGUGAGGGAAUAAGGCAGUUUUUCGGAACAGUUGAAUGUACCUCGAAAGGAAGCACCGGCAAACUUUGUGCCAGCAGCCGCGGUAAUACGAGGGGUGCAAGCGUUGUUCGGAAUCACUGGGCGUAAAGGGAGCGUAGGCGGAGAUGCAAGCAGUCUGUACAAUACCGGGGCCCAACCCCGGACCUGCAGACUGGACUGUGUCUCUUGGAUAGUUCAGGGGCAGGC